UGGCUCUGGCAUCGAUGAAGAACGCAGCGAAAUGCGAUAAGUAAUGUGAAUUGCAGAAUUCAGUGAAUCAUCGAAUCUUUGAACGCACAUUGCGCCCUCUGGUAUUCCGGGGGGCAUGCCCGUUCGAGCGUCAUUACACCUCUCAAGCACGGCUUGGUAUUGGAGGCUAGCAGCGUUUGUUGCUCCUCUAGAAGUUGUCGGUCGAGUUCAUUAAGCCGAUGCUUAUAACCGCAGUCAUUCAAACUUUUUUGGUUCUGGGGUAUCAUAACAUCGCACUCGCUUCCGUCCACAGAAACCCCCCGCAAGGGCCUUUCUGCAAACGCAUAUUCUAAGGUUGACCUCGGAUCGGGUAGGGAUACCCGCUGA
rnacentral:misc_RNA from 1 species